rnacentral:rRNA from 1 species
UGCACUUUGCUGACGAGUGGCGGACGGGUGAGUAAUGCUUGGGAACUUGCCUUUGCGAGGGGGAUAACAGUUGGAAACGACUGCUAAUACCGCAUAAUGUCUACGGACCAAACGGGGCUUAGGCUUCGGCGCAGAGAGAGGCCCAAGUGAGAUUAGCUAGUUGGUGGGGUAAAGGCUCACCAAGGCGACGAUCUCUAGCUGUUCUGAGAGGAAGAUCAGCCACACUGGGACUGAGACACGGCCCAGACUCCUACGGGAGGCAGCAGUGGGGAAUAUUGCACAAUGGGGGGAACCCUGAUGCAGCCAUGCCGCGUGUGUGAAGAAGGCCUUCGGGUUGUAAAGCACUUUCAGUUGUGAGGAAAAGUGAGUAGUUAAUACCUGCUCACCGUGACGUUAACAACAGAAGAAGCACCGGCUAACUCCGUGCCAGCAGCCGCGGUAAUACGGAGGGUGCGAGCGUUAAUCGGAAUUACUGGGCGUAAAGCGCACGCAGGCGGUUUGUUAAGCUAGAUGUGAAAGCCCCGAGCUCAACUUGGGAUGGUCAUUUAGAACUGGCAGACUAGAGUCUUGGAGAGGGGAGUGGAAUUCCA